AUGGCCGACGGGAAGGACCUGGGCGCCGCGGCGGCCGCGGAACCCGACCCCGAUGAAGGGCAGCCGGAUCUGGAAGAGGAAGGUGAGCUCGAAGCCGCCGCCGGCGGCGGCGAGGAAGAAGAGGACGUCGACGUCGACGGCCUCGCCAGCUUCCUCGAAUUCGAGAUCCUCUCCGGAUCCAGCGAGGAAGAUCCUCUCGACCAGCUGGAGGAGGGCGAGGAGGAGAAGGAGACGGGGGUGAACUAUGAGGCGAAGAACGGUAAGAGGAAGCAAGAUUCGCUGUCGGACGGAGAUGGCAGCGGCAGCGAGGACGAGCAUCAGAAGAGGGCGAGGAAGGAGAAGGGAAAAGGAAAGGUUUUGGCAGAGGGGCCGCCUCAGAUUGACACGGGCAUGUUCACCAACGUCCCCCCGGAGCUGUUCCUGCAGAUCUUCAAGUUCCUCUCCUCGGAGGACCUCAUCUCGUGUGCCCUUGUGUGUCGCUUCAUGAACGCCGCCGCAUCUGACGAGACCCUUUGGCGCCGCUUGUAUUGUAUGAGGUGGGGCCUGUCCUCUAAUGCUACCUCUAACGCGAAACUCAGGGAGUGUGCUUGGAAGAGCCUCUACAUUCAGCAAGACAGAGAAGAUAUGGUUGAAUUCGUGAGAUAUACCCCUACAGAAUUCAAAGAGUACUAUAUCCAGAUGCAGGCUGCAAAAAGGAGUCAGGCACCCCUUCCCUCAGAAGUUAACGACGACAAGAUUGUUCUUGAUAAGACAGUAGCUGAUCAGGUGUCUAGUUGGAAAAGCCGCAGAGGCCUUACCGAUGAUGCAGUCAAGGGGCAUUCUUGUUCCGGAAGUACUUGCUACUAUAAGCAGAUUGGUGAUGCUUAUAUCUGUGAGAAGACUGGUCGUGUACAUGUCUGCGAUGAUGCCUGUCGUGAAUUUGUCUUGGACCAAGCUAGCGGGUUACUUGUCUGUACGAUAUCUGGGCACUGUUUUGAGAGAUUUUUAUGUCCUGAUGACGAGUGGGACACUUGUGAUGCUGAUCAGCAGCAAGGUGGCGUGACUGAUGAAGCAGAGCCAUUCAUGGGAUCUGGACGAUUUGCACGAGCUUAUCAGUUGGGUUACAGCUGUGCCGACGAGAAGGAACUUGAGCACGCUUUGCGGUUCUGCUGA
rnacentral:rRNA from 1 species